AUUGAACGCUGGCGGCAUGCCUAACACAUGCAAGUCGAACGGCAGCACAGUAAGUUCUUGCUCUUACGGGUUGCGAGUCGCGUACGGGUUAGAUAUGCAUCUGUCUCUACUUUUUCGUUGGGGCUAACGUAGCCGAACUUAUGCUACUUCCGCAUACGACCUACGGGUGAAAGCCCGUGAUCUUUGGACCUUUCGCGAUUGCAUGUGCCGAUGUCGGAUUAGCUAGUUGGCGGGGUAAAGGCCUACCAAGGCGACGAUCAGUAGCUGGUCUGAGAGGAUGAUCAGCCACACUGGAACUGAGACACGGUCCAGACUCCUACGGGAGGCAGCAGUGGGGAAUAUUGGACAAAGGGCGAAAGCCUGAUCCAGCAAUACCGCGUGGGUGAAGAAGGCCUUCGGGUUGUAAAGCCCUUUUGUUGGGAAAGAAAAGCAGGAGGUUAAUACCGCGCGGUGCUGACGGUACCGAAAGAAUAAGCACCGGCUAACUUCGUG
rnacentral:rRNA from 1 species